rnacentral:rRNA from 1 species
GACGUACAACCCAAACGUUAUUCGGAAUCACUGGGCUUAAAGGGUCCGUAGGCGGCGAAGAAAGUCGGGUGUGAAAUACCUCAGCUCAACUGAGGAAUUGCGCUCAAAACUACUUUGCUCGAGAAAGACAGAGGUGAGCGGAACUGAUGGUGGAGCGGUGAAAUGCAUUGAUAUCAUCAGGAACACCGGUGGCGAAAGCGGCUCACUGGGUCUUUUCUGACGCUGAUGGACGAAAGCUAGGGGAGCGAACGGG